rnacentral:rRNA from 1 species
AUUGAACGCUGGCGGCAGGCCUAACACAUGCAAGUCGAGCGGAUGAAGGGAGCUUGCUCCUGGAUUCAGCGGCGGACGGGUGAGUAAUGCCUAGGAAUCUGCCUGGUAGUGGGGGAUAACGUCCGGAAACGGGCGCUAAUACCGCAUACGUCCUGAGGGAGAAAGUGGGGGAUCUUCGGACCUCACGCUAUCAGAUGAGCCUAGGUCGGAUUAGCUAGUUGGUGGGGUAAAGGCCUACCAAGGCGACGAUCCGUAACUGGUCUGAGAGGCUGAUCAGUCACAUUGGAACUGAGACACGGUCAAGACUCCUACGGGAGGGAGCAGUGGGGAAUAUUGGACAGUGGGCGAAAGCAUGAUACAGCCAUGCCGCGUGUGUGAAGAAGGUCUUCGGAUUGUAAAGAACUUUAAGUUGGGAGGAAGGGCAGUAAGUUAAUACCUUGCUGUUUUGACGUUACCAACAGAAUAAGCACCGGCUAACUUCGUG